UAUGGAGGUUCCCAGGCAAGGGGUUGAAUCGGAGCUGUGGCCGCCGGCUUACACCAGAGCCACAGCAACACCAGAUCCAGUCUGCGACCUACACCACCACUCACGGCAAUGCCAGAUCCUUAACCCACUGAGCGAGGCCAGGGAUUGAACCCACAACCUCAUGGUUCCUAGUCAGAUUCGUUAACCCCUGUGCCACGACGGGAACUCCACUUUUCACACGUUGGGGGAUUAAGAUGGCAGAAUAGAAGGACUGGAGCUCAACUUCUCUCCUAAAAUCAACAAAAUUUACAACCAAAUGCUGAGCAAUCUUCAACAAAAUGGACCUGAAACUUUCAAAAGAUAUCCUACUCCAAAAGACAAAGACGAGGCCACAUCAAGAGCUAGGAGGGGUGAUUACGUGAUAUAAGCAACCCCAUACCUCCUGGGUGGGAAGCCUCACAGACUGGAAAGUAACUGGUUCACAGAGACUCACCUACAGGAGUGAGAGUUCUGAGCCCCACAUCAAACUCCCACCUGUGAGCAUCUGGCACUGGGACAAAAAGCCCCUGGCGUAUCUGGCAUUGAAGGCCAGUGGGGCUUGUGUGCAGGAGCUCCACAGGACUGGGGGAAAUGGAGACCCCAUUCUUAAAGGGCACAGAGAAUUUCAUGUGCACUGGGUCCCAGGGCAAAGCAAAGACUCCAUAGGAAGCUGGGUAAAACCUGACUGCAGUUCUUGGAGGACCUCCUGAGAAAAUAGGGGUGAAUGUGGCUUGUUGUGGGGGAAGGACAAUGGAAGCAAAGCUCUUAGGAAUAUUCAGCAGCCAUGCCUUUCUCUGGAGGUGGCCAUUUUGGGAAAAUCUGGCCCCACCCAUCAGCACUGAGAAGCCCCAGGGCAAACAACAAUCCAGGUGAGAUCACAGCCCUGCCCCUCAGUAAAUAGGCUGCCUAAAGACCCCCCAGGCACGGAGCCCCCCUAAUCCCAUCCAGAGACAAAGCCCCACCCACCAGAGGGAUAGGAAUCAGUUCCACCUACCAGUGGGCAGGCAUCAGUUCCUCCCAUCAGGAAGCCUACAACAAGCCCCCAUACCAACUUCAGCCACAAGGGGAGCAGACACCAGAAGGAAGAGAGGCUACAACUCUAGUACCUGUAAAAAGGUCACUACACAAAAACCUAUAAAA
rnacentral:lncRNA from 1 species